UCCGUAGGUGACCCUGCGGAGGAUCAUUA
rnacentral:rRNA from 1 species